rnacentral:rRNA from 1 species
CGGAAUUACUGGGCGUAAAGGGCUCGUAGGCGGCCAACUAAGUCAGACGUGAAAUCCCUCGGCUUAACCGGGGAACUGCGUCUGAUACUGGAUGGCUUGAGUUUGGGAGAGGGAUGCGGAAUUCCAGGUGUAGCGGUGAAAUGCGUAGAUAUCUGGAGGAACACCGGUGGCGAAGGCGGCAUCCUGGACCAACACUGACGCUGAGUGAGCGAAAGCCAGGGGAGCAAACGGG